rnacentral:tmRNA from 1 species
GGGGCUGUUAGACUUGACGGAAUGAUCUUUGUCAAAGAAGCGAACCGAUCUAUCACGAUUAUAUCGAUAAACUGAUCGUGAAAACAUACGUGCAACCGUAUUCAACAAGGCUAAAGAAGCUAUUGCGAAAGCAUUUAAUCCUUCUUUUGCCCCAGCUUUAGCCUAAAUUGCCAAAGCCAUCGAAAUUUGUGAGUGUCUCAUAACAAAUUUUCGGUGUCAUAUAUAUGAGACUGGUUUUUCUUUUUUCUCACAAAAGAAAAAUAAGAUAUUGUGAGGCGAUAGCUAUAUUUUUUCUGUCUUUCUCCAAGAUAUAUCUACCGUAAUCGAGAUUCCGUAUUGCACGGAUUCUCGUUAAGAAAGACUGCGUUCGGAGAAACUUUGAUAUUUACGUUACCGGACAUGGGAUCAAUCCCAUCAGCUCCACAU